rnacentral:rRNA from 1 species
GACGAACGCUGGCGGCGUGCCUAAUACAUGCAAGUAGAACGCUGAAGGAGGAGCUUGCUCUUCUGGAUGAGUUGCGAACGGGUGAGUAACGCGUAGGUAACCUGCCUGGUAGCGGGGGAUAACUAUUGGAAACGAUAGCUAAUACCGCAUAAGAGUAGAUGUUGCAUGACAUUUACUUAAAAGGUGCAAUUGCAUCACUACCAGAUGGACCUGCGUUGUAUUAGCUAGUUGGUGGGGUAACGGCUUACCAAGGAGACGAUACAUAGCCGACCUGAGAGGGUGAUCGGCCACACUGGGACUGAGACACGGCCCAGACUCCUACGGGAGGCAGCAGUAGGGAAUCUUCGGCAAUGGACGGAAGUCUGACCGAGCAACGCCGCGUGAGUGAAGAAGGUUUUCGGAUCGUAAAGCUCUGUUGUAAGAGAAGAACGAGUGUGAGAGUGGAAAGUUCACACUGUGACGGUAUCUUACCAGAAAGGGACGGCUAACUACGUG